rnacentral:rRNA from 1 species
AGCGAACGCUGGCGGCAGGCCUAACACAUGCAAGUCGAACGAACCCUUCGGGGUUAGUGGCGGACGGGUGAGUAACACGUGGGAACGUGCCUUUAGGUUCGGAAUAACUCAGGGAAACUUGUGCUAAUACCGAAUGUGCCCUUCGGGGGAAAGAUUUAUCGCCUUUAGAGCGGCCCGCGUCUGAUUAGCUAGUUGGUGAGGUAAUGGCUCACCAAGGCUACGAUCAGUAGCUGGUCUGAGAGGAUGACCAGCCACAUUGGGACUGAGACACGGCCCGAACUCCUACNNNNNGCAGCAGUGNGGANUCGUGCGAAAUGGGCGAAAGCCUGACGCAGCCAUGGCGCGUGAAUGAUGAAGGUCUUAGGAUUGUAAAAUCCUUUCACCGGNGAAGAUAAUGACUGUAGCCGGAGAAGAAGCCCCGGCUAACUUCGUGCCAGCCGCCGCCGUAAGA